GGGCUCGUAGCUCAGUGGUCAGAGCGGUCGGCUCAUAACCGAUUGGCCGCAGGUUCGAUCCCUGCCGAGCCCA
rnacentral:tRNA from 1 species